rnacentral:lncRNA from 1 species
ACCGUUACAAGUGGUGCCAUAGCCCACCAGGCCACUUGAGGGGGCUGGAAUAGAGCCCUAGUGUGACCCCCAGUUCAGUGCCCAGAGUCCGGUUACUGCCCUACACUGCUGAUCACGCAAUAUCUUGGGUUAACUCAUCUGCUUCAUUCGCCUUUGGUCCCUGGCAGAGAUCAAAGAACCCUGAGCGGUUGGGAAGCUGGGACCUUGGAGAGGGUGGACAGAGUAUACUCCUUGACCCCUGGGCUUUGACCAUGAUUAUGUGACUUGCUUUGGCCCGUGGGAUGUUAGCAGACAGGACACAAGCAGAGGCUUGAAAAGUGCCUGCAAGUUGGAGUUUUCUUCUCUGCUCCUGCCUUUGGCCAUAAGAAGAACAUUUCCUGGGUAACCACUGGACAAGGAAGAUACGGAGACACAUAGAACAGACCUGAACCUGGCCUGUAGCUUGGAACCAAGCCCAGCUGAGCCUGGCUUAGAUUAGCCAACUUGCGAUGUGAUAUUUUUGCUUGAAGACUUGUCAAGUCCUCUCAGACAACCUGAAUGAUUGAUCUAAACCAUCCACUCUACUGGGCAGUCCUGGUGCUGAUUCUGGCCUUCUUUGCACUCACUUCCAAGACAUUUGCAGAAGUGAAAAAACCAGAUAAUCCACCAGAUAUACGUUUGGUUGACAAGGUCAAACAUCUGAAUAUAUGGAAGAUUCUGGAAGCAACAAUGGCUUAAACAAGGUAGGAAUUUAUUUCUCAUUCACAUAAAAUUUGAGUGGCUGUCCACAGUUGAUAUGGUGCUCCAUGCUAUGAAGAACUCUG